AAACGGUAAAGAAGCCCUACUUGAGACCUUCACCUUCAAGAUCACCCCACGAAGACACCACCACCACCAUUACACCCAACUCCAUCUCCGGAAAAGGAUUCAACGGCGGAUCAUGCACAUCACUAGACGGAGCCCGUAUCAGAUCCUCCCAACAAACAGAUCCCGCCCCUACCAAGCGCGGCGGAGAUGUGCUGUUACAGUGGGGACAGCGGAAGCGAUCGAGAGUCUCCAGAGCCGAGAUCCGAUCCUCCACCACCACCGCCACCGCGGCUGCCGAUGACUCUUCGUCUUCUUCUGGACACGGUAAGAUUCAAUCGAACAAGCUUUUAAGAAGAUCUGUAAAUCCGUCUAUGCCACCACCUCCUCCUCCUCAUCCGGUUUCCUCUAACCGGAGCUCAAACCAUAGAAACGGUUUCGUCGGGGGCAAGCAAAUCUUCCUUUCCAGGUUUGGCCCCAAAUCUUCUUCUCUUUAUAAAAUUUCCUAUUUUGAAUAUAUAUUAUUUACCUUAUUUGUAAGAAUAAGCUUUGAUUUGUCUUUUUUUACAGAUUUGUUACUUUUAAAAACUUCUUUAGAUUUUGUGUUACUGUAAAAGUUCAUUUUUCUCUGAUCGUGACUUGUUUCAUUAUUAUUAUGUAUGAUAAAUACUACUGUUUUUCAUUUUCGGGUUUUGAUUUUAAUUAAUUUUGUUUUUUUUUUUAGAUCCAGACUAGGUCUUGUUUGGUUGGUUCCAUCUUCUGUGUUAAAGCAAAGCAUUUAUCAAAGUUGGUGAUCCAAAACUCUUUUUUGGAAGUUACACUAAUACCCUUUGGAUCACACAGAGAAGCUUUUUAUAUUUUAAAAUUAUAUGUUGUUGAAUUCGAUUUAUUUUUUUCAAAUUUUUCAAAGUUUUAUUUUGAAAUUCAAAAUUUUGUUUCAAAACUAGUUUUAUAAUUUUUAUUAUAAAUUUUAAGUAUUUAGUUAUUAUUAUUUUUUAAAUCUUAAACUCCAUCUUCAUAAUUUCACCAUCAAAUUUAAAUCAUAAGUCUAGAUUAAUUAAUCAUAGAGAUAUAAAAUGUAUAUGUAUCUCUUGAAACAUUUUGGUCAUUUCAACUUUUGAAAACUAUAUUUGUGAUAAAAAAAAUUUAGGUCAUCCAAUAAAAUUUCUCUAUAACAAAAUAGGUCAUGUAAAUAUAUAUGUCCGAGGAAUUAUGUAAAUAAUCUAGAUAAUUUCUUUUGUAAUACCAAAAUUAUUAUUCAUAUACUUAUAUAUAUUAUACUUAUAAUUAAUUUUGAUAUAAUAAUAUUACAUUAAUAUAUUUAAUAUAAUUUAUAUCUCUGAUUAAAAUAAAAUGCAUAUUAAACUGUUUUUUUUGUUGAAAUUUUAAAUUGAUUAUCAACAAAGAAAAAAAUACAGGCCACUAAGGUUUAUGCUUUCAUGAAAAGAAACACAAGUCUUAAAGAGAAUAAAACACUAAGAGUACUAAGUAUUCCUAGCAAGCCAUCGCUGCAUCAUGUCGCUGGAGAAGGCUGGCCUCCUGUGUCGGAGAGAAGAGAUCUUGUUCCGAAUGGUCUUGUCAAUGUACCUGACCAUUUGGCUAGCGCUGAGGGGAUUUCCAUUGUACGCCUAUUGUUUCUUUCACGCCAAAUACUAUAAAUGCUAGCUUGGAGAGCAAGCUUGAGGAGGCAAGUAUCGAUCUCCUUCCUGCGAGGAGACAUAAGAGAUGUGACGGUGAUAGCCCAAUCAGGAUUCACUCGAGAUCCCAGCAUGAAACCUACGAGAUAAAUCCAAACCGUAAACGAGUAAGGGCAUGCGAAGUAUAGGUGGUCGCGAGUUUCAUCCGGUUCACCACAAAGGAGGCACGGUUGAAUGCAACCCCAAGCUCUACUUCUCGCACCCGUAGACAGUCUAUCAUGAAACGCCAGCCAUGUGAUGAAAGCAAAUCGAGGUAUGCUUUGUUGAAACCAAACAACUUUAAUCCAAGCUAUCUUAGGGUAGUGAGUCCUAAGUUGCUCCCAUAUUGCUUUACUGCAAAAUGCCGGUUUGUAAACCCCAUCCCCGCAGUGCCAUAGACGACGAUCAUCAGCAGCGUCCUCCGCCGGAGCUGGAACAGAGUUGAUGCAGGACAUCAUCGCCCGUAGGUGAUAGCCACGACACCGAUGAAUGUUCCAUUGUCCACCAAAAGCCGCUUCCAAGACUGUCGCAUAGCGGGGGAUACCUAAGACUUGUAUUCCUAAAUCACCCGUGAUGUUUAAUAGUCGUCCCACACUCAGCCAGUUAUCAAACCAGAAUAAGGUGGUCUCGCCAUUACCAAUCUCUGAUCGGAGGAAUGAAGUUGCUAUGUCCCUGAGUUUCAAAAGUUUUCGCCAUAUCCAAGACCUACGUACUUAUCACUGACGUCCCAGAAACUUUGAGAGCGAAGCAGAUAAACCUUCGUCCAAGCGACCCAAAGGGAACCAGAGUUAGUGAGUAGUCGCCAUAUCAAGCUAAGUGCAAAAACUCGUGAUGUUUCCGUGAGACGUCUAAGGCCUAGACCUCCCUCAUCCUUAGGUCUACAAACAUCAUCCCAAACAACCUUUGCUUUUGUAUGCGUAUUAGGCGAUCCGGACCAUAGGAAUGCAUCACACAUGCUUUCAAUAGUAAUGAGACAGCUCUUUGGAAGACGAAACACAGAGCACCAGAAGUUAGUUAUACUGCCAAUGACUGUUUUCACAAGCUGCAAACGACCAGCAUACGAGAGAGAGCGACUAGACCAUGACACCAGACGCGUGCGUAUCUGAUCAAUCAAUGGUUCGUAAUCUGUUUUGGUCAUUUUCUUCGUGGUGAGUGGGAGACCGAGAUAUCUCACAGAAAGAGAUUCUGUUGGAAUGCCCAGACGCUAAACCUCAUCCUUAAAGUCUUGACUAAUACGGCCAGCCAUAAAUAUAGAAGAUUUAGCUGGAUUAAUCAGUAAGCCAGAGAUACUCGCGAAUUCUGAUAGAACCUCGAACACGCUUUUCAGCGAAGCAGCUGGACCAUCAGUAAAGAUCAUUAGAUCGUCCACAAAGCUUAAGUGUGUCAAGUUUACCUUGCUGCAUGAAGGGUGGUAGCCCUCAAGAAUUAAGCUUUUUGAUUAUUGGUCUUUAUAUUUCUUUCAAAUAUUCAAUCUAAUACUCAUUCACCUUUAAUAUAUUUCUUACUCUUUAAAAAUGUCAUAUCCACUGAAGAAUUAAGUUGUAAAAUUGAACUAAAAUGGAGUUUUCAACAUUUUAGCCUUUUCCAUCAUUUAAAACGUUUAUAUUUGAAAAUAAUUCGAAAUCCAGGUAUUUGGUAGACUUAUGUUAACCUGUCACACAAAAUUUUGUCAGUCGUUUUGAACCAAGCCCAGUCCAACUGAAAUGAUGCGGUAGAAGUAUCAAUUAUCACGGGUCUAAAAACUUCUUGGUUCGGUUAAACCAUAUCCGGUUUCGAUUCCUGGUUUGGAAUCAUCAUAUAGAUUUGAUUAAACCGACCUAUAGCAGCGUCUUCUUCCUCUGAGAGCUUCCCGGACUCGAUUGAUUUGCGCCUCUUGAAAAAUCGGAUCUGAAUAUCUCUUAAGGGCUUCUCAAAGGUUCGCUAAUGAUCUCGUCGCGUUUAUCAUCUUGCAAACUUUAACUGAUCUUUUCGCUUCUGAGUUUGAGAUUCGAUUGAUUUGAUUCUCGACUAGGUUUCACAAUAAAAUGAAGAAUUCUAAAGAUCCGUUUGAAGCAGCGAUAGAGGAGGAGCAAGAGGAAUCGCCGCCGGAAUCACCCGCAGGCGGAGGCGAUGACGAGGAGGGACGGCAUGAAAUCGAGCAGGCUCCGGAAGAGAGUGAGAGAGACGUAGGUGUUCGCCGUCAACCGAAGAAGUUCAAAUCCUCUGUUGCUGUUGCUGACGGGAAGAACAAGGAUGAAGAUGAAGAAGAAGAGGAAGAGAACAUGGAAGCUGAGCUAACCAAGUAUCCAACUACAGCUGAUCCCGCGAAGAUGGCCAAGAUGCAGUGAGUGUUUCUUGAUUUUCUUAUUAAAAACUUGAACAUGAUUGAUUGAUUGUGGGAAUACUUCAGGGUCAUUUUGUCGCAGUUCACUGAGGAUCAGAUGAGCAGAUAUGAAUCUUUUAGGAGAUCUGCGUUUCAAAAAGGAAACAUGAGGAAGGUAAAGUACUGAAAACACAAUCGAAAUCAUCUUGUUGUUUCGGUAAGACAUGAACCAUAUAAGCUUUGCGGUUUCUUUGGAUGCAGUUAUUACAGGGAGUGACAGGGAGUCAGAAGAUCAGUAUGCCAGUUAUAAUCGUUAACUGUGGUAUCGCUAAGAUGUUUGUUGGUGAACUCGUGGAAACGGGUAACAUUUUCGAAAUUUGAACAUAGAAUGUAUGUGAAAGCUUAGUUGCUUGAUGGAACAAAUUGGUUUGCAGCUAGAGUUGUAAUGGGGGAAAGGAACGACUCAGGACCUAUCAGACCAUGCCAUAUCAGAGAGUCCUAUAGGAGACUAAAGCUCGAAGGCAAAGUACCUAAAAGAUCAGUUCCACGUCUUUUCCGCUAGCCAGAGCAAGACCCAAAAGAGAUGUUACUUUCUCAGCCCUAUUAGAUAUGAGUCUACGGGUUUAAGCUGGAGUGAUUUGCCUAUCAGUCCCAUUAGAAAAGUCGAUUAUAUUGUUCUUCGUUGCUGCUAAACUUUGCGAUAACUUUUGCUUUGAAUACCUAUAUGAUCAAUCUAUCUUUGUACACAGGUCUUUUUGCCCUUUAUGUGCUGAUCUGGUGUACUAUAUGCAUUUGGUUUCAGGUUUUCGUUUGUAAUUGGUUCAGUUUUAAUAAUACCGGUUUAUUUUGUUAGUUUGGCUAACCAACAAAUUUUGAUCCGACUUUUGUAUAACCAGACGACCUGUCGAGAAGAAUUUCAGUUUGCAUGUGUUUCUUCUAAGCGUGGGUCUAUUGUCAAAUUGGUAGUAGGGAGUGGAGACGCUUUAAACCACACGUUGCCUGGCUGGGAAAGAGAAACUAUGUAGUGGGCCUUAAGAUGGGCCGGAAUUUGUAACCUAAGGCCGCAUAAUAGACUAUUAUUGCAAAGAUGAUAACCAAUGGGGUGUGAAUUGGAAGUCCACAGAAACUUGGAGGACUGGAAUAGAAAACUUAGAAGAAUAAAAGAAGUAUUAGACACAAUAACGCACCCACUAUCUUUCUCUUCUUCCCUUCCGCCUUCUUCUUCCUCUCCUCCUCACUUUUAACGCAGAGCUUCCGUUUCUUAUUUUCUUCUUCUUCUAUCUCUCUCUCUAUCCCUACAAAAAAAAUUUCUUAACUUAUCAUUCUCUUUCUUAUAUAUUCCUUUUGAUUCUCUGCUAACCGGUACGAGAAAGCAGAACUGCGAGGUGUCUGUGUUUCGCUUGAUCAGAUAUAAAUCACGCGUGGUGAAAAAAUGAACGAAUCGUAGAUUUCUGAAAAUAAUCACAGAUCGAAAAACCAAAAAACAUACCAUUACAAAACUCGAAUCGGGUUUCCACUUGGGGGGUAUAAUGAUGAGGUUUCUCUCUUCUUCUUCUUCUGUAAAUUUUUUUUUUUUUUUUGCCUCUCGGAGUUUUUGUUUUCAUCUUCGCUUUUGUUCUUCUUCCGGACACGCUGACCAUCGGACUGUUUUGAGUUUUUUAUUCUGGUUUUGUUUUGGUUUUAAAUUUAACUAAUGGUUUCUAUGGAUCUGAGGUUUGAUUUGAAAAACUUCAGAUUCAAGUUUUUAUGAAAACCUUUUUAAUCUAUGCAGCAGUUUUCAAUUUGAUCACUAUAUUGAAUCCAGCAGCCAAGUUAUUAAAAUUUUCUGGGGAUCUUUACAAUAAAAAAAAAAUUCAAGAGCUUCUUCUCUCUCAAAGAGUCUGAUUUGGACUAGCCACCAAUAAAGAAAGUCAAAAACAUUUUGAGAAAUUUCACUUAAAAACACAAACGCAUCUUCCUUACGUUUAGCGAUUUUGUAACGCCUGAUCUGAGUUUGCCUGUUUUUGAUUAGGUAUCAGAGAGUAAGCCCAGAUGUUCUCCCCCUCACAAACGGAGCAAAGAAGCCUUACUUGAGACCUUCACCUUCAAGAUCAUCACCCCACGAAGACACCACCACCACCAUUACACCAAACUCCAUCUCCGGGAAAGGAUUCAACGGCGGAUCAUGCACAUCACUAGACGGAGUCCGAAUCAGAUCCUCCCAACAAACAGAUCCCACCCCUACCAAGCGCGGCGGAGAUGUUUUAUUACAGUGGGGACAGCGGAAGCGAUCGAGAGUCUCCAGAGCCGAGAUCCGAUCCUCCACCACCACCGCCACCGCGGCUGCCGAUGACUCUUCGUCUUCUUCUGGACACGGUAAGAUUCAAUCGAACAAGCUUUUAAGAAGAUCUGUAAAUCCGUCUAUGCCACCACCUCCUCCUCCUCAUCCGGUUUCCUCUAACCGGAGCUCAAACCAUAGAAACGGUUUCGUCGGGGGCAAGCAAAUCUUCCUUUCCAGGUUUGGCCCCAAAUCUUCUUCUCUUUAUAAAAUUUCCUAUUUUGAAUAUAUAUUAUUUACCUUAUUUGUAAGAAUAAGCUUUGAUUUGUCUUUUUUUACAGAUUUGUUACUUUUAAAAACUUCUUUAGAUUUUGUGUUACUGUAAAAGUUCAUUUUUCUCUGAUCGU
rnacentral:lncRNA from 1 species